rnacentral:rRNA from 1 species
ACGGGAGGCAGCAGUCGGGAAUAUUGCGCAAUGGAGGAAACUCUGACGCAGUGACGCCGCGUAUAGGAAGAAGGUUUUCGGAUUGUAAACUAUUGUCGAUGGGGAAGAGACAGGACAGUACCCAUCAAGAAAGCUCCGGCUAACUACGUGCCAGCAGCCGCGGUAAUACGUAGGGAGCAAGCGUUAUCCGGAAUUAUUGGGUGUAAAGGGUGCGUAGACGGGAUAGCAAGUUAGUUGUGAAAUACUCUGGCUCAACUGGAGAAUUGCAACUAAAACUAUUAUUCUUGAGUGCAGGAGAGGAAAGUGGAAUUCCUAGUGUAGCGGUGAAAUGCGUAGAUAUUAGGAAGAACAUCGGUGGCGAAGGCGACUUUCUGGACUGUAACUGACGUUGAGGCACGAAAGUGUGGGGAGCAAACAGGAUUAGAUACCCUGGUA